rnacentral:lncRNA from 1 species
AUAAUAUAUAUAUAUAUAGAGAGAGAGAGAGAGAGAGAGAGAGAGAGAGAGAGAGAGAGAGAGAGAGAGUUGAGCUAGAAUACUAUUGAUAGCAAACGGGCUCCAUUGCCACCCAUUUGUUUUCGAUGAUGGAGCCUUCAAAUCGACGAUCGGAAUCGUUGAACAUGAUCUAUACUAUUUAAAGUGUUUAAAAAUCAAAUUUCAUACAUUUUCGAUAUUGCUCUCUUAUCCAUCGAGUGGACACAAAAAUGAACGGCUGAAAAUAAAUAUUUUUUAAAAAAUAAUGAUAGGAGUCUUAUAAUUAAGAUCAAGAGUAUAGAUCUUAUUUUAAAU